rfam:Triticum aestivum genome assembly, contig: Triticum_aestivum_CS42_TGACv1_scaffold_249105_3DL
GGGGAAAUAGCUCAGUUGGUUAGAGUGUUGGUCUGUCACGCCAGAAGUCGCAGGUUCGAACCCCGUUUUCCCCG